UGAUCGGAAGGGUUUCCUUCCGGUCAACGAGGUACAUGUACCUCAUCAACCGGAAGGAAACCCCUCCAAUUGAUGAGGUACAUCUACCUCAUCGACCGGAAGGAAACCCUUCCGGUCA
rnacentral:miRNA from 1 species